rnacentral:lncRNA from 1 species
GGGAUUGGGGGCGACACGGUGGAGGAAGUGGCUCGUGGCGGCAUGGCAGGUGGUUAAGCAGGGGCUUGAUGACGAGUCCACAAAAUGAGAAAGAUGAGUAGUAUGUGAAAAUCCACCAAUCCAUAAAACGGUUUUACUGUUUCAAGAAGUAUAUAGUACUUGCUUGGAUCCAAACUAAAUGUCGUACUUUUAGUUCAAGUGUUAAUUACCGUAACACCAAGAGUCUUCAAGUGGG